UUUAGGCUCAGGCUAAUGAAAAAAAACACCGUCUCCAAAUGGUAGCUGAACACGCCAUGUGUUUCAUGUUACAACUUACAAGUACUCUAUAUUAUGGAAUGAUUAUGGUAUCUUACACCUUGUUUUUUUUGUUAGUAGCUCAUAAUUGUAAGGGACUCACAGUAAAAGGAAAUUUAGGUGAAGAACAAUGAGGAAGGCUAGCACUAAGGUAGUAGUAGCAAAUGCAGAAAUGGAAGAAAUUAUCAAUUAAGAUUUAAGAGUAGAGCAUAGAGAAAUCCCAAAGAGGGCCCGAGGAAGGAGGAGACAAGUCACACUUUCUUCUCUCUUUUCAAUUUCCCAAUUUUCCCUUCAUUUCCCAAAGGUUAUCUUUGAGUGUAAUAAUGGGUGUCCUUUUCCUCUCACUUUUGCGGGGUUCAUUUUGAUUUCAUCAUCACCAUCCAUGUGUCUGAUCUGACCCGUAUGAUUCGACCUUAACCUGAGGUUGAAGUUAUGAUAAUCUUCCGGUAAUGAAGAUAAAUAAUGCCAAGUAGAGUUAAGGGUCUUCUUUGAUUGCAGUUUUUGAAAACUGUUUUUAAAAACUGUUUUUCAAGUAUAACUUGUUAUUCAGUAUACUUUGAUUUCAAUACAUUAAUCAGUUUGGUUAAAUAUGAGCUUUCUACAUUUAUAACUGGAAAUAUGCAAUGCCUUUUUCCCAGUUUUGUAAAGUACGUGUUACUUAUCUUCACAAUUGUUUGAAUCCAUUAGGCAUGAAGCUGAACAAGUGAUAGUAGUAGGGUACAUACUGCAUAAAUAGCUGAAAUAAGCACUCAAACGUUUGAAUUUGCCCACCAUAUAUUGAAUAACGUUUCACAAAGUGGUGGUGCUUAAAUGGAGUUUUAUGCUAAGUGAAAGUGUUUUUAGUUCUGUUUUAUAAUUUGGUAGUGUUUUUAUAUGUAAAUAGUCAUUUAUAUUUGAUUAGCUUAAGUACCUCUUCAACAUGAGCAUGGGUUAAAAGUAUAGAUUUUCUAUGUAUUGAAGCAGGGCUUUUAGCGGCGGUUGUAACCGCCCAAAAUUUCCGACAUUCUUUGCGGCGGUUCCACCCAUCGUUAAAUUAAAAGAUUAAGUGUGUAAAAAACAGUGUUAUUGGCGGUGGUUCAAGCUGCCUUUAAAUAUUUAACGUCAGUUUGCGUGGCGGUCCCAAACCGCCGGUAGAGUUGUCCGCGACACUCAAUUUAGCCGCGGUUGGCCAACCGCCGGGAGUCUUUUUUAGUUACAACCAUCGCUAAGUGUCAGUUUUGUGUUAGGC
rnacentral:lncRNA from 1 species